CCGGAAUUGAUUGUGAAACAAGCAAUUUGUCAGGCCUGCGUGUGAUAGAGUUUGCUACUCGUCACGGCAAAAAUGGUUCAACUUAGGACAAUUUUAUGCAUAAUUCUGAUUUCGAGUAUAGCUUGCUGCUUGCUAUUGACCAACGCGAAAAAUGUGAAUAGAAAACAACAAAAAAUUGGAGCAGUUAGAAAGCCUUGGCGAUCUCGUGAGCACAAAAAGAAUUAUAUAAUUAAGUGCUGCGGGAAAUUAUCGUGUUCCGAAGGAUCACCAAAUCGUUCACGAAUUAUCAGUACUUCUUCACAAGAAUCAAUAACAUCAACACCAGCAAUCCUUUCCACCACCAACCUGAUCAAAAUCG